GAUGAAGAACGUAGCGAAAUGCGAUAAGUAAUGUGAAUUGCAGAAUUCAGUGAAUCAUCGAAUCUUUGAACGCACCUUGCACCCUUUGGUAUUCCGAAGGGUAUGCUCGUUUGAGUGUCAUUGUACUCUCAUACUUCUAAUUCCUUUCGGGAUUGGGAGCGGUGGACUUGGGUGUUGCUGCUUUAGUUGUGGCUCACCUCAAAUAAGUUAGUGCAACUCUUGGUUGGACAUAGUACGGCGUGAUAAGUGUCUUCGCCGGCGCCUCUGUAAGGAGGGUGGCCGAUCGGGAGCUCUGUGCUUCAAACCGUCUUCGGACAAUCUUUGACAACUUGACCUCAAAUCGAGUAGGACUACCCGCUGAACUUAAGCAUAUCAAUAAGCGGAGGA
rnacentral:misc_RNA from 1 species